GAAAAAUUAGAUAAAGCUAUGAAUAAUUAUGUUAGAGAUUAUAUUGAGGGACUAGGGUUACAUGUUGUGUUCACUGAAUCAUUUACAAUGAACAUAAACAUUUAUAAUCACAAAAAAGGUAUUUCUGAAAAUCAGUAUCUGUUACAAUCAUUCAAAUGCAAUGUCAUUUAUUUAUAUUGCAUUAUUUAGUCUAUUGUUUUCUCAUUUUUUAAAAAAAAUAGCAAUUAAAGCAAAGAGGAAAUCUUUAUGGUUAAUAUUUAAAAUUUUAUCUUUAGAAAUAAAAAAGUGGUUCAUCAUACAUAAAAGAAAAAACAAAUUUAAUCUGUAAGAGUACAUUAUCUUUAAUUUUCUUAAGUCAAAAACAGUUUACAUAUUAGCAUCAGUGUAAACAUCCUCUCUGACGUCGCAAUGUUAAGACUUCUGUUGCCUUGGUGCCAUCUCAUUCUGACCCUGGGCUCAUUGGCCCUUACACUUUAAUCUGAACAAUGGAACCAGAGACAUCAGCACUGUCCAGGCUCUCUGAUGAUCUUCAUCCUUCGCCAGUGGCAAUUCAUGAAAUAAAUACAGAGUUUUCUGAGGAAAGUAUAAUAUACUCAGACCUCAAAGUUCGUUGUUCUUCAAAUACCCAGAACGUAAAAAUAACUAAAACUUCGAAAACAAAAGUGUCUCCAUGGUGCAUUGCUGCUGUGAUAUUUGCCUUCCUUUAUAUAAUCACUCUGGUAAUAGUUGGAGCUAUGGUAGCUAAGAUUCAUUGUCUUGAGGAGAUCCUGCAUGAGACAACCAUUGAGACUGCACAUUGCAACAUAAUAUCACAAAGCAAAGGUAAUUGGUCUUCCUCCGAAGAAAACUGACAUUUUAUAUCUACUGAAAAUAAAAUCUUGGCAUCAAGGAAAUUUGUUCUGAAGCACUGAGCUCCAGUCCCACCAAGGCAAAUAAUGAAGAAUUGGAAGUGUUUCAUGUGAUAUUCAUUCUUAUAUUUUCUUACACAUCAUAUAAUUAUAAAUAGAGAAUUUUUAACAUCUUGUGUUCAUUUAAGCAUGCUAAACUCAACAUUUUAUAAGUUGGAGACAUCUCAAUCAAACUCAAAAAAUCAAAAUAUGACCUUAAAAUGAUUCUAGAUUUUAAAUAUAUUUGCAUACAGAAGUAAAUGCAAAUAUAAGAAAUUUCAAAUGUUGGCCAACAAUGGGGGAAGAAAUCACAUAGACAUAGAAACUAAAGGGAAUCUGGUCACAAGUGGCACCUAAAAAAGAGCUAAUAUUUGUUGAUUGCUUCAAAUAUUCCUGGUACUACAUCAAUGAUUGUGGGCAUUAACUCAUGUGUUUUCCCAGUAAUCUUAUGAUACAAGUAUUAUCAUUGCCAUUAUUGUAUUAAUAAGAAAACCAAGACCCAGAGAGAAUGAUACUUUUUUUCUGGGUAUCAGAAAUAGUAAGAAUUAGAUGCUUAAACUAUGAUUUAAGUUAAAAGAAUCUAACUCUAAAGAUCAGGAACAUAGCCAUUAUGCUAUGCUGACCCCAGAACAAAAAAUCUUAAUGAAUCAAAUUGUAAGAAUAUUGCUUCUUUGUAAAUAGUCAGAGCUGCUUAUACAAGCAGAUUUACAUUUUCCCACCCUGGAUGUAUCUUCUAAAGAGGAACAGUGAGAAAAAGAAUAAUAGCUCUUCAUAAGGACAAUUUUUAUAGGAAUUACUGUUUGGAAUGUGAAUAAAAGACAUUAACAGCAGUAAUGUUUCCCCCCAGUAGAUCCUAGCAAGCCAAAAGAAUAUAGAUGUCUUUUAUAUUUUUGUUCUCCUCUACUAUGUGACUCUUACCUCUGUAUUAUUUCUUCUUUUUCAUUGUAUUGAAGUUCUGUUAUUGCCUUUAAUGAAGACUUCAGUGCAGAUCAAUGAAGAUAAAUUUAGGGCAUAUAUGCUGAAAAUUUCCAUACAGUAUUCUUAGAAGACACUGUUCAUAAUAUCCUUCCCUAUGAUAUGCAGUAUCAUAAUUGCAAUCCUUCAUUAUUGCAAAAAAAGUGAGCAUAGACUUCACUUUGAAUAACUUUCAACAGAGCAUACCAGAAAGUCUCCUCCAAUUGAAUUACUCUCAUCUCAUCUACAUAUGGUGCUUCAAAGUGAACUUGUAUAUACACAUCAGCAAUGAGCUCUUUCAGCAAAA
rnacentral:lncRNA from 1 species